GGCAGGCGGAUACACGUGACGCGUGCCCCCUCUCCUGCGCUCUAGACCGGCGCGCAUCGCGCCGCGCACCUUGCAACGUGUGGCCGUCUGCAAAUCAGCAGUUCCCUUAACUUCACUUCCCAGACGGACCACUUGUCUUCUGGCUCCAGCUCUGAGGGAAAGGAAGGGAUGCUUUAUGAUUCCGUAUGUCUGAUGAGAAGACAGGGCACUUCCAUCAUGCAGGAGUGGAGGAUUUGGGAUCAACCCCCCAACAGGAAGGACCCUGUUUGGAAGAGAAGGUCAACUCUGAGGAAUGGAGCCCUGCUGUAAUUCAGGCCAAGACUUGGUUUUACCAGGGAUCAGAUUAUGGUGAGAGUCUCCUGGGACUGCCGCUUGGAAUGUCUUCAGGAUUCCAGAGGCUAAAAAUAUCUCCCCAAAGCCACCCCAUUGGCUUCCUUGUAAGGAGCUGGACUUAGCUGUGCGGUUGAAGGUUUGUGCCCACCAGGUGGCGCUCUACCCUUAAGUCUCCAGAUGCCUUUUUUAGGCGACAGAAGGACUCUCUUUUCUCCCUCUCAAUGUUUAUUUGGUUAGGUCCCCUACUCACAGAGGUAGUUUGUGUAGUGUAACCCCGUCAUCAGCCCAGCACCCAGAUUCAGCCCUCAGGUGCCUGUCCUAGCUCCAGCCCUUCUCAAGAUUGGCACCCUGAGGACAUCGAGGAUGUCCCGCCAGGGAUUGAUUGCUAAGGGAUGCUGAGUUUAGAAAGGCCCCAGAAUUGGGAUCAGAAGACCUGGGUUUGAGUCUCUACACUGACCUUUGCCAGUUCUGUUUCUUUGGGCAAGUUAUGUAACCUCUCUGGGUCCCUGUAACAGUGGCUGAGAAUAAAAUAUGAGAAAGUAUAUAUAAGCACUUUGAAUGUCACCUAGAGCCAGCCACACCUGGGCUCCUGUUUAAACUGUCACCCAUCAGCUCUGUGAACAUGGUCACCUUCCUUAACCCUCUGAGCCCUGGCUUCCCCACCAGCAAAUCAGGGAUAACAUUGCCUAGAAUAUAGGUGCGCCUGGCUGGCUCAGUCGGUAGAGCAUGU